rnacentral:rRNA from 1 species
GUACGGGCCUUGAGAGAGGUCGCCCGGAGAUGGACUCUGAGACACGAGUCCAGGCCCUACGGGGCGCAGCAGGCGCGAAAACUUCGCAAUGCAGGAAACUGUGACGAGGGAACUCCAAGUGUCCAUGCAUUGCAUGGACUGUUUGCCAGCCUAAAAAGCUGGUAGAGUAAGGGGUGGGAAAGACCGGUGCCAGCCGCCGCGGUAACACCGGCACCUCAAGUGGUAGCCACUAUUAUUGGGCCUAAAGCGUUCGUAGCCGGCUUGGUUAAUUCCUGGGUAAAUCGUACCGCUCAACGGUGCGGAUUCCGGGGACACUGCCAGGCUUGAGACCGGGGGAGAUCAGAGGUACUUGCGGGGGAGCGGUGAAAUGUUGUAAUCCCGCAGGGACCACCAGUGGCGAAGGCGUCUGAUCAGAACGGCUCUGACGGUGAGGAACGAAACCCUGGGGCGCAAACGGGAUUAGAUACCCCGGUAGUCCAGGGCGUAAACGCUGCUGACUCGGUGUUGGGGAUCCUACGAGGAUGUCCAGUGCUGGCGCGAAGGUAUUAAGUCAGCCGCCUGGGGAGUACGGUCGCAAGACUGAAACUAAAGAAUGGCGGGAGCACUGCAACGAGGGGAGCGUGCGGGUUUAAUUGG